rnacentral:rRNA from 1 species
GGCGGCAUGCCUUACACAUGCAACGUCAACGGCAGCACGGGAGCAAUCCUGGUGGCGAGUGGCGAACGGGUGAGUAAUAUAUCGGAACGUGCCCAGUCGGUGGGGGAUAACGUAGCGAAAGCUACGCUAAUACCGCAUACGAUCUAUGGAUGAAAGCGGGGGAUCGCAAGACCUCGCGCGAUUGGAGCGGCCGAUAUCAGAUUAGGUAGUUGGUGAGGUAAAGGCUCACCAAGCCGACGAUCUGUAGCUGGUCUGAGAGGACGACCAGCCACACUGGGACUGAGACACGGCCCAGACUCCUACGGGAGGCAGCAGUGGGAAUUUUGGACAAUGGGCGCAAGCCUGAUCCAGCAAUGCCGCGUGCAGGAUGAAGGCCUUCGGGUUGUAAACUGCUUUUGUACGGAACGAAACGGUGAGCUCUAAUACAGUUUGCUAAUGACGGUACCGUAAGAAUAAGCACCGGCUAACUACGUG